rnacentral:rRNA from 1 species
UAACACGGGGGUGGCAAGCGUUGUCCGGAAUUACUAGGCGUAAAGGGUAAGUAGGUGGAAUUGUAAGUCAGAUGUUAAAGGCACCGGCUCAACCGGUGUACGGCAUUUGAUACUGUGGUUCUAGAGUAAGGUGGGGGAAGACGGAAUUCCUGGUGUAGCGGUGGAAUGCGCAGAUAUCAGGAGGAACACCAGAGGCGAAGGCGGUCUUCUAUACCAUUACUGACGCUCAAUUACGAAGGUGUGGGUAUCAAACAGGAUUAGAUACCCUGGUAGUCCACACAGUAAACGAUAUACACUAGGUGUUGGGGGAGAUAUUCUUUCAGUGCCGCAGCUAACGCGUUAAGUGUAUCGCCUGGGGAGUACGAUCGCAAGGUUA